rnacentral:lncRNA from 1 species
AGUUAUGGACACAUUUGCACCCUUUCUCACUUUUAAGGGUGUAAAUUGUGUUAGGGAGCUGCUGCCUUGUUUGCA